UAUGUUUGUGAAAAGAAAGAGGAGGGAUUCUAGGACCUUCACCAGAGAAGCUUAUCUGUAGCCCAAUAUGUAGCUCGAUUUGUUCAACUGUCUAGAUUUGCCCCUUUGAUGGCACCCCCAAAAGCUGAAAAGCUAGAAAGUUUCUCAAAGGCCUUCGUGCAGAAUUUAUGAUCGAGUUGCAAUGCUGAGACCUAGGUCAUAUGCAGAGGUGCUUGAACAUGCCCAAUUGGCCGAAGAUCUUAUCUCGGUUAAGCAUCAACGCUUUAUCUGAGUUUGUGCCUAACAACAGCCCCAAUAGCUUAGAAAAAAAUUGUCUGACCCUGUAAAUAACCCUCCAGAAAAACGAACCAGAAUUGCCUUUCCUCCUGCCCUUCCCCCACCUAUAGCUCCACCUACUCGAGCUAACCAACCUUGUCAACAUUGUGGUCGCUCGUAUGGUGACCUACCAUGUCGGUGUAUCAAUAAUGCCUGCUAUCAAUGCGGAAACACCCAACACCUUAUAAAAGAUUGCCCUCAGUGACCGAAGAAUGUAGCCCGACCCAUAACACAAGGUCGAGUGUACCAUUUAAAUGAAUCUGAUGUACUUCCUGCUCUUGUUCUCAUCCAGGGUAUACUUUCUAUUUAUAAUACUUUAGCCAAAUCUUUGAUCAAUACUGGUGCAAAUCAUUCUUUUAUUUCCUAUGCAUUUUCUUGUAAC
rnacentral:lncRNA from 1 species